UGCCGCCCUCUUUGAUAUUAGGCCCCGCCUCCUCAGCCACCAAGUCAGCAUGCACGGAGCCCAGGAGUGCAAACAUGAAGCGUGCAUUGGUGUGUGUGCUGAUGGCUGCCUGGAGCCUUGGAUGUGGCAGCCAGACGGUGCACCAGCCACUAGAAAAUGUGUACGCCAUGAAAGGCAACUCAGUUACGCUGGACUGCAGCUAUGAAAAUUCUGGAGGCAACGACUACAUCUUCUGGUACAAACAGGACGGGCAGGCGGCACCAAAGAUCAUCCUGAGCCUCUCCAUGAGGAGUCAGGGCAAGACUGAGAGCAGCUUUGAAAAGAGGUUCAGCUGCAGCAUCAAUGACACCGCCAAGCGAGCUCCUCUGAAGAUCGAAGACGUGCAGCUGAGCGACUCUGCUGUCUUCUACUGCGCCAUUCGGCCCACAAUGGCUGACAUCUCUGCUGCACCCGCACAAAAACCUCUUUAGGCUCCUCAUCCAACUGUGGCUGUUUUCACAGCUUUUGUCCUUGUCAGGAAAUCACGAGGGUGGAGAACUGGAGAUGUUUUUUAUUUACAUACCUUAUAUUCCAAACCGUGUCUCUAACACGGCAGAAAACAGAUGACCAAACACAACAGAAGUCAUCGUCAUGGACCCACUAGCUGCAGAAGUUAGCUCUCCAUCAGCUAAACAGACUCAAUCAGUCCACGGUGACGUUUUACUGAAUUUAUUGAGGAAUUUGUGAAACUGAAACAUUGCAAAUAGGAUGCCAUUAUAAGUUAAUAACACUAACACAAACGUCAAGACAUUAUAAACAUGCAAUAUUCAUGGCAAUGUUCCCAACAGUUCGUUCCAGACCGUCUGCUUAGUGUCGCCCUCACAGCCUGCUCUCUUUCGUUUCUCUCCCCCUGCUGUGAGGUAAGGGGCCUGUCAGUCACAUGAUGAUGUGUUGCACUUUCAAAACAAAAUCAUGUAUAACUCCGCGGUAUAUUUUUUGGGUGGGACAAAUGCAUCUUUCUCCAAUAAUGAAAUAUUGAAAAGGCACGUCCCCCCGUUACUACACCUAUGUAUGUGAUGUGUUUGUGAAGCGCCUUCCUCUUUGGGAUUAGGCCCCGCCUCCUCAGCCAUCAAGUCAACGUGCACAAAGGCUAUGAAUGCAAACAUGAAGCGUGCAUUGGUGUGUGUGCUAAUGGCUGCCUGGAGCCUUGGAUGUGGCAGCCAGACGGUGCACCAGCCAGCAGAGAAUGUGUACACCAUGAAAGGCGGCUCAGUGACGCUGGACUGCAGCUAUGAAAACUCUGGAAU